UCAGCUCGGUAAAGGUUUAUUGCUUCCUCCUACUGCGUUUGUAAUACUGGGGUUAUAAAGACGGUAACAGCACAGUUCCUCAUGGCUUAGCCAAGAGAGACAAAGGCAAAGGCAGCCUGUGCUGAGGGUGAGAAGCUGCCUAUGCUUCAUAAUAUUUGUGGCAGAAAUGGAUCAAGUGCUAGAUUUCUUGUAUUGACAAUGCAUUUUGGCAAGACAGCUGGAGGUGGAAUGCCCAGUGGAGUGAAAAGUGUCCUUCUGACUCCAGUUCUUCAAGUACCCUGUUCUUCCUGGCAAAAGUAACCUGUAUUCCCAGUUUCUUGGGUGUCCCUUCACAUAGUCUGUGUACAGGCAAGAAUACUGGAGCGGGUUGCCAUUUCCUUCUCCAAGGGAUCUUCCUGACCCAGUGAUCGAACCGGUAUCUCCUGCAUUGCAGGCAGAUUCUUUACCGCUGAGCCACCAGGGAAGACUUUCAAAAUAUACCACAUUAUUAACUAUUUUCUGUUAAGAAGUAUAACUAAUCACAGUUUAUGGUGUAAAUCUAAUACAUGUAAUGGAUUGUAGGUGUUUAAAUGCAAUUGAUAUAUGCUUCCCUUAACUUUAUAGAUUAUUACAGCCUUCAUUUAUUCAACUUAUAUCUGUAUAUUAAAGUUAUUUUCAAGUUUUUGAAUGGCUCAUACAUGCAUGUAUGUAGUGAUAAAAAAUGUAAAACUGAUACAAAAGGCAUCUAAUUCUGUUUCACAGAAUCAAGCAAUAUAGCUAAUGUCUUCUGAGAUGUUCAAUGCAGUUCCAGACAAUUCUAUGUUUAUAUUUCUCCCUCCUUCCAUUUCUUUCUUCUCUCCCAUCAGUUUUAAUAACUGGUGUGAUCAACCCUUUCUCAUUCCUUUAAAAAUUUUUUUUUCCCCUAGAUACUUUUUACUGGCUCUUAUUGCUUAUUUAGUUAUAUACAGGAACUUUAAAAUCAGCUUACCUAGCCUGAAAAAAAUCCUAUCAGCAAUUUUGGGAGUGGGAUGCCUAGUAUUCAUAAAUUACCUUCUGAGAGAACUGACAUCUUAAGAUGCUGAAACCAAAAACAUGAUAUGCCUUUCUAAUUGUUUGAGUCUUUAAAAAAUAACUGUUGAGUUUAUCUUGAAGAAUUUUUAACUUUUUUUCAGUAAAUAGAGUGAUUUCCUCUAUUGUAUCUUCUGAUUGUUGUCUGUUUGAAGACUUGAUUUUUCCAUAUUAUGUUUUUCACCGUACUUAAGUCUUCAUUGUUAGUAAUAGUUUUUCAGCUGAUUCUCUUGAGUUCUCCACCUAAACAAUUAUUUUAUCUACAUAUACCUUCAGAGCAAUAUUAAUUAUGGUAGUCUUAUGUUGUAUGGCUAGUAAAUUAUACCUGUGCACAUUUUCAAAUAAAGUCGCUCUGGUUAAUUGCUUAAUAGAAAAGCAGUGUAAACUGUUAAAUAUGAACACAAAACAAAACAUCCAAACCUACAGUCACCACAAAAAUGAAACAAACCAACAGCCAACUAACAAAAACUGUUCUCAUCUGCGAUUACUUGUGAAUCAGGCAUCUCAAUUUUGUGUAAACAAAACAAAAUGAGAUUUUGGAGCACUGAGCGUUAAGAUU